GAUGAACGCUGGCGGCAUGCCUAACACAUGCAAGUCGAACGGGAGGUGGUGUUUCCCGUGGCGGUCGGGUUAGUAACGCGUAAGAACCUGCCCUUGGGAUGGGAACAACAUCUGGAAACGGCUGCUAAUACCCCGUAGGCUGAGUAGCAAAAGACGGAAUCCGCCUGAGGAGGGGCUCGCGUAUGAUUAGCUAGUUGGUGAGUCAAUAGCUUACCGAGGUGAUGAAGAGUAGCUGUUCCGAGAGGAUGAUCCGCCACACUGGGACGGAGACACGGAGCAGAGUACUACGGGAGGCAGGAGUGGGGAAUUUGCAGCAAUGGGCGGAAGGCUGAGGGAGCAAUGCGGCGGGGAGAUAGAAGGACUAGGGGUCGAGAACUUCUUUUCCAGGAGAAGAAGCAAUGACGGUAUCUGAGGAAUAAGCAUCGGCUAACUCUGUG
rnacentral:rRNA from 1 species